rnacentral:tRNA from 1 species
GGUUGCAUGGCAUAGUGGUUAGCAUAUCUGCUUUACAUGCAGAAGAUCCUAGGUUUGAUCCCCAGUGGAGCCA